rnacentral:RNase_P_RNA from 1 species
GAAGCAAGCCAGACCGCCGCUGGUGCGAGCGUGGAAACACGGCAUUGGAGGAAGGUCCGGACUGCGCAGGGCGGCGUAGCAGCUAACGGCUGUCCACCGUGAGGUGAGGAUCAGAGCAACAGAGACGAGCCGAUUCAGUUCGGGUGAAACGGGCAAUCUCUACGGGCAGCAACACCAAAUAGGCCGGCAUGGAUGCGGCUCGCGGAGCCGGCGGGUAGGUGGCACCGAGCCGGGGGGUGACUCCCGGCCCAGAGGAAUGGCGGUCACGGCACGGCGCCGCAAGGCGCCGUGCUGCACAGAAUCCGGCCUAUCGGCCUGCUUCACAC